GUAGGGAAUAUUGGGCAAUGGAUGCAAGUCUGACCCAGCCAUCCCGCGUGCCGGAAGAAGGCCCUCAGGGUUGUAAACGGCUAUUGACGGUGAAGAAUCGACAGGAUGCGUCCUGUUUUGACGGUAGCCGUUGAAUAAGCACCGGCUAACUCCGUGCCAGCAGCCGCGGUAAUACGGAGGGUGCGAGCGUUGUCCGGAUUUAUUGGGUUUAAAGGGUGCGUAGGCUGGAAGGUCAGUCAGCGGUGAAAAGCUGUCGCUUAACGAUAGUCUUGCCGCAGAUACUUCCUUUCUUGGAUGAGGAGGAGGCCACUGGAACGGAUGGUGUAGCGGUGAAAUGCAUAGAUAUCAUCCAGAACACCGAUUGCGAAGGCAGGUGGCUGUACCUUAAUCGACGCUGAUGCACGAAAGCAUGGGGAGCAAACAGGAUUAGAAACCCGGGUAGUCC
rnacentral:rRNA from 1 species